rnacentral:rRNA from 1 species
GAUGAACGCUGGCGGCGUGCCUAAUACAUGCAAGUCGAGCGAACAGACGAGGAGCUUGCUCCUCUGACGUUAGCGGCGGACGGGUGAGUAACACGUGGAUAACCUACCUAUAAGACUGGGAUAACUUCGGGAAACCGGAGCUAAUACCGGAUAAUAUAUUGAACCGCAUGGUUCAAUAGUGAAAGACGGUUUUGCUGUCACUUAUAGCUGGAUCCGCGCCGCAUUAGCUAGUUGGUAAGGUAACGGCUUACCAAGGCAACGAUGCGUAGCCGACCUGAGAGGGUGGUCGGCCGCACUGGAACUGAGACACGGUCCAGACGCCUACGGGAGGCAGCAGUAGGGAAUCUUCCGCAAUGGGCGAAAGCCUGACGGAGCAACGCCGCGUGAGUGAUGAAGGUCUUCGGAUCGUAAAACUCUGUUAUUAGGGAAGAACAAAUGUGUAAGUAACUAUGCACGUCUUGACGGUACCUAAUCAGAAAGCCACGGCUAACUACGUG